rnacentral:rRNA from 2 species
UUAAGCGACUAAGCGUACACGGUGGAUGCCCUGGCAGUCAGAGGCGAUGAAGGACGUGCUAAUCUGCGAAAAGCGUCGGUAAGGUGAUAUGAACCGUUACAGCCGGCGAUGUCCGAAUGGGGAAACCCAGUGCAAUUCGUUGCACUAUCGUUAACUGAAUACAUAGGUUAACGAGGCGAACCGGGGGAACUGAAACAUCUAAGUACCCCGAGGAAAAGAAAUCAACCGAGAUUCCCCCAGUAGCGGCGAGCGAACGGGGAGCAGCCCGGAGUCUGAAUCAGCUUGUGUGUUAGUGGAAGCGUCUGGAAAGUCGCAGGGUACAGGGUGAUACUCCCGUACACUAAAACGCACAGGUUGUGAACUCGAAGAGUAGGGCGGGACACGUGGUAUCCUGUCUGAAUAUGGGGGGACCAUCCUCCAAGGCUAAAUACUCCUGACUGACCGAUAGUGAACCAGUACCGUGAGGGAAAGGCGAAAAGAACCCCGGCGAGGGGAGUGAAAAAGAACCUGAAACCGUGUACGUACAAGCAGUAGGAGCCCACUUGUUGGGUGACUGCGUACCUUUUGUAUAAUGGGUCAGCGACUUAUAUUCUGUAGCAAGGUUAACCGUAUAGGGGAGCCGCAGGGAAACCGAGUCUUAACUGGGCGUUAAGUUGCAGGGUAUAGACCCGAAACCCGGUGAUCUAGCCAUGGGCAGGUUGAAGGUUGGGUAACACUAACUGGAGGACCGAACCGACUAAUGUUGAAAAAUUAGCGGAUGACUUGUGGCUGGGGGUGAAAGGCCAAUCAAACCGGGAGAUAGCUGGUUCUCCCCGAAAGCUAUUUAGGUAGCGCCUCGUGAACUCAUCUUCGGGGGUAGAGCACUGUUUCGGCUAGGGGGUCAUCCCGACUUACCAACCCGAUGCAAACUACGAAUACCGAAGAAUGUUAUCACGGGAGACACACGGCGGGUGCUAACGUCCGUCGUGAAGAGGGAAACAACCCAGACCGCCAGCUAAGGUCCCAAAGUCAUGGUUAAGUGGGAAACGAUGUGGGAAGGCCCAGACAGCCAGGAUGUUGGCUUAGAAGCAGCCAUCAUUUAAAGAAAGCGUAAUAGCUCACUGGUCGAGUCGGCCUGCGCGGAAGAUGUAACGGGGCUAAACCAUGCACCGAAGCUGCGGCAGCGACACUAUGUGUUGUUGGGUAGGGGAGCGUUCUGUAAGCCGUUGAAGGUGGCCUGUGAGGGUUGCUGGAGGUAUCAGAAGUGCGAAUGCUGACAUAAGUAACGAUAAUGCGGGUGAAAAACCCGCACGCCGGAAGACCAAGGGUUCCUGUCCAACGUUAAUCGGGGCAGGGUGAGUCGACCCCUAAGGCGAGGCCGAAAGGCGUAGUCGAUGGGAAACAGGUUAAUAUUCCUGUACUCGGUGUUACUGCGAAGGGGGGACGGAGAAGGCUAUGUUGGCCGGGCGACGGUUGUCCCGGUUUAAGCAUGUAGGCGGAUGUUCCAGGUAAAUCCGGAACGUUACUAACGCUGAGGUGUGAUGACGAGGCACUACGGUGCUGAAGUGACAAAUGCCCUGCUUCCAGGAAAAGCCUCUAAGCAUCAGGUAACAUCAAAUCGUACCCCAAACCGACACAGGUGGUCAGGUAGAGAAUACCAAGGCGCUUGAGAGAACUCGGGUGAAGGAACUAGGCAAAAUGGUGCCGUAACUUCGGGAGAAGGCACGCUGAUGGUAGGUGAAGCGACUUGCUCGUGGAGCUGAAAUCAGUCGAAGAUACCAGCUGGCUGCAACUGUUUAUUAAAAACACAGCACUGUGCAAACACGAAAGUGGACGUAUACGGUGUGACGCCUGCCCGGUGCCGGAAGGUUAAUUGAUGGGGUUAUCCGUAAGGAGAAGCUCUUGAUCGAAGCCCCGGUAAACGGCGGCCGUAACUAUAACGGUCCUAAGGUAGCGAAAUUCCUUGUCGGGUAAGUUCCGACCUGCACGAAUGGCGUAAUGAUGGCCAGGCUGUCUCCACCCGAGACUCAGUGAAAUUGAACUCGCUGUGAAGAUGCAGUGUACCCGCGGCAAGACGGAAAGACCCCGUGAACCUUUACUAUAGCUUGACACUGAACACUGGUCCUUGAUGUGUAGGAUAGGUGGGAGGCUUUGAAGUGUGGACGCCAGUCUGCAUGGAGCCAUCCUUGAAAUACCACCCUUUAAUGGCUGGUGUUCUAACGUGGGCCCGUAAUCCGGGUUGCGGACAGUGUCUGGUGGGUAGUUUGACUGGGGCGGUCUCCUCCUAAAGAGUAACGGAGGAGCACGAAGGUCAGCUAAUCCUGGUCGGACAUCAGGAGGUUAGUGCAAUGGCAUAAGCUGGCUUGACUGCGAGCGUGACGGCGCGAGCAGGUGCGAAAGCAGGUCAUAGUGAUCCGGUGGUUCUGAAUGGAAGGGCCAUCGCUCAACGGAUAAAAGGUACUCCGGGGAUAACAGGCUGAUACCGCCCAAGAGUUCAUAUCGACGGCGGUGUUUGGCACCUCGAUGUCGGCUCAUCACAUCCUGGGGCUGAAGUAGGUCCCAAGGGUAUGGCUGUUCGCCAUUUAAAGUGGUACGCGAGCUGGGUUUAGAACGUCGUGAGACAGUUCGGUCCCUAUCUGCCGUGGGCGCUGGAGAAUUGAGGGGGGCUGCUCCUAGUACGAGAGGACCGGAGUGGACGCAUCACUGGUGUUCGGGUUGUCAUGCCAAUGGCAUUGCCCGGUAGCUAAAUGCGGAAGAGAUAAGUGCUGAAAGCAUCUAAGCACGAAACUUGCCCCGAGAUGAGUUCUCCCUGACUCCUUGAGAGUCCUGAAGGAACGUUGAAGACGACGACGUUGAUAGGCCGGGUGUGUAAGCGCAGCGAUGCGUUGAGCUAACCGGUACUAAUGAACCGUGAGGCUUAACCUU